UGUUGUUGAAGUAACUGUUGCUGUAUUUGAACUACUCCGAUCAGAGUUUGCAUUAGUUGAGUCAUGUUCGGCUCCUCCUAUACUGUCGGAGUAUUAUCGGUAGGAUCAAGGAUUCCCUCCUGCUGAGUUGUGCCGCUAUUUAAUUGGGGAGUGUUAUCGCCAAGUGGAUUUGAUGUCCCUCCUACCACUCCUUGAGUAUUCUUCGCUCGUCGUGGAGGCAUAUUGACUUAUGAUAGAUUUGAAAUAAUAACUUGUUGGGUAUAAAAUACCCCCAACCGAAGUCCUCAACAGAAUCAACGACUCCGCCAACAAGGCCGACC
rnacentral:lncRNA from 1 species